UUAGAACCAGUAGUAAAAACCAAAAAAAUGGAGAGUGAGAUCUAAAGAUAAAUAGAAGAUCAGAUGAAAUGAUGAAAUUAUUGUGUGGACAGCUAUGAGGAGAGGACAAAGGAGAUAUGCUAGAAAUGUAGGAGGAGAAUUGAAAGCAUGAGAACGGGAGAGGGAUAGGAAAUAAAAAAAUAGGGAAAUAAUGCUUAACAAAUCCUCUACAUGAUCCACUUGAUGGAACAAGAGGUUUAGUGCUUAACAACUGAUCUAUUUUUCUCUUAUUUGUUUACCAAUCAUGUAUAUAUAUCAAUGUUGUUGAUUGAUUUACAUUCAAUUUUUUAAAAGGAUAUGGUAAAUCACUUUCUUGCAGCAAUGU
rnacentral:lncRNA from 1 species